GGCUUUGUGGUAUAAUGGAAAGCAUGUUGGACUUCUAAGCUGUGGUGUUUUGUGUGAGCCACGCCAGUCAUUGUGGACUCAAAUCCCACCAAAGUCA
rnacentral:tRNA from 1 species